rnacentral:rRNA from 1 species
GAUGAACGCUGGCGGCAUGCUUUACACAUGCAAGUCGAACGGUAACAGGCCGCAAGGUGCUGACGAGUGGCGAACGGGUGAGUAAUGCAUCGGAACGUGCCCAGUCGUGGGGGAUAACGCAGCGAAAGCUGUGCUAAUACCGCAUACGAUCUGUGGAUGAAAGCGGGGGACCGAAAGGCCUCGCGCGAUUGGAGCGGCCGAUGUCAGAUUAGGUAGUUGGUGGGGUAAAGGCUCACCAAGCCAACGAUCUGUAGCUGGUCUGAGAGGACGACCGGCCACACUGGGACUGAGACACGGCCCAGACUCCUACGGGAGGCAGCAGUGGGGAAUUUUGGACAAUGGGCGCAAGCCUGAUCCAGCAAUGCCGCGUGCAGGAAGAAGGCCUUCGGGUUGUAAACUGCUUUUGUACGGAGCGAAAAGGCUCUCUCUAAUACAGGGGGCUCAUGACGGUACCGUAAGAAUAAGCACCGGCUAACUACGUGCCAGCCGCCGCCGUAACAC